GGGAUCGCAGGCCGCUCCACACUUUCCUCUCCCUCCACACUGCCAUAUCCUUCCUUGCUCAUGCAGGAGGCACAGGAAGACUGCUUCCUAAAUGCGAUUCCCGCUUCAUCCCCAAGGAUUCUCUUGGCGCCUCACACUUGGCUUUGGUGAGUACGGAGAGGCACUUCCUUCCCCAUGGGCUCCCCCAGACCCCAAACUAAAGACUGCAAAGGCCGUCUCCCCCUUUUCCAGCCUGGCAGGAGCCGAGCGUGAGGAAGACGGACAUCGCAGAGCAUGGUUGGCUUUGGGGAUGAAGAAGGGGACAGAGUCUUUUGGUUGUCUCUUAAGAGCCCCAAGAAAAUAUCUGUCUUCAGACCGUGCCGUAUUCAUCACCUUAUUCGUUCAGCUUGGACCCAGUUCUCCAAAUGCCGGAAAAUCAGGAAAACUCGCGUGAGCUGCUAUAGACGCAAACGUCAACUGUGUAGGCCGUUACGGUGGCCUGAAAGGUUCAAGCUGAACAGAGAAAAAUGUCAUUUGCCGGUCAAAGAACAACUAACUACCUGUUGGCCGGAUUUAUUUAACUGGGAAGAAUAAUUGGAUCCAAUGGAAGGACUUUAAUGUGGUCUAAAAUUUCAUUUUCUUAGUGAAGACGAUUGAAAAGCAGAGCCAUGAGCAGCAGAACUGCAGGGAGACAAGGAUUCCAGAGUUAUUUUUAAUUUUUAAAGUGAAGAGUGUACAAGCGAGCCAGAUGAGUAAAAGAACUACAAUUCUCAAGCCCUUGGAAAGGAAACAUUACCCACUCCUUUGUCGAGGAGCUUCUGAGAAUGGAUAAUAGCCAAAUAGGAACUUUUUGCUGUGAGCCAAGGAUUAUUCUAUGGGCUCUACAGGGAUGUGGACUGAUUGUACCCACAGUGGAAGACAGGCCAUUAGAAACUACAUAGUUUCUGAACUUCUGGGGCUCUGCAAGAUGCAGAUAAUUUAACAGCAUAUAACUGAAUUUGCAAAGACACACUCAGAGUUCCCAGAGUGAAGAACUUGCCUUUCCUACAGUAAGAGCAUGCAUGCUGUAAAUUCCUAGGAAAAUGCCGAGCAGAAUGCAGUCUAUGGCUCACCGAAGAGAUGACGUGGACACAAAGACAUGUAGAGCAUCAAUUGCUCCACUGGUAUUUUUAUUCUGUAUCUUAAUUUUUGAAAUUUUGUUUUUUGAAGUUAUGGGAAAUUUCUAUAACAUAGAAAGGUGUAUAGAAAAAAUUUCAACUUAAGAAAGGAAUAAAAAUAACCAUGUUAACAUUUUGGUAUAUGUCCUAUUUCUUUCCUCCUUGUUCAUAUUACUUAUACAUAGUUAAGAUCAUACCAUGCAUGCAAUUUUGUCUUGAAUUUUGAUCACAAUAUUGUAGCAUGAGAAUUUUUUAUAUGUGAUUUUAGAAAUUCUUCUAUAAUAUCAGCCCUGACCAUAGUUGCCUAAAAC